rnacentral:lncRNA from 1 species
CGUGCCUAUCACCGAUACUGCUUAAGACAUAUCUGCAGUAAUUUCAGCACUCAUUUUAAAAAUGUGCAGCUGAAAAGAGCAGUAUGGCAAGCAGGAAGCACUCAUCAAGUUCGCAAGUUCAACUUUAUUAUGGAUAGAAUCAGAACAGUGAAUAAAGAGGCUUGGAGCUAGUUGUCUGAGAUUGAAAAGGAGAAGUGGACGUUGGCAUAUGAUGAUGGCCUACGCUAUGGUGUCUUAACUAUAAAUUUAUCGGAGGUUUUUAACAGUAUUUUACAAGGAGCUAGAAAUGUGUCAAUUACAGCUUAUG